GACGACAGCUUCCAUGUUAACAAUGUGACAUUCAGUUUUCACUGCUGAAUGCGUAAACGUAUUGUUUCAAUGCUCCCAAUACAUGUGGAACUACCAGCCAUGUUCGGAUAGGAUGCAAUGAACCAAGUGUCCCUUAUAGGGUUGCCCCAGAAAUCAGAACAACUAGAAACUCCAAAAUCAGUAGAAUGCAAUGAAUGCCAUCA
rnacentral:lncRNA from 1 species